UUGCGAGUAAGUCCCUUCCGAAGUAUAAAUGGGUGGCACCUUGAGGCGACCGCGACGCAGUAGGAAGGGGUUCGCAA
rnacentral:sRNA from 12 species